UCGGAUUGUAGGCUGCAACUCGCCUACAUGAAGUCGGAGUUGCUAGUAAUCGCGGAUCAGAAUGCCGCGGUGAAUGCGUUCCCGGGUCUUGUACACACCGCCCGUCACACCAUGGAAGUUGGGGGCGCCCGAAGUUGGUCGGGAAAUAGAUUACCUAAGGCGAAACCAAUGACUGGGGUGAAGUCGUAACAAGGUAAC
rnacentral:rRNA from 1 species